GCCUCUCUCCCUCUGCUGCCUGCAACUAAGUGCCGGGACAUGGAGCAUAAUAGGCCCCAGCCUCUGUCUUUAGGAGGUCAUGGCUUAGUGACCUGGGUGCAGCGGAGCUUAUUGGGAGCUGAGCUGGUCACGGAUGGCUUCGUGGAGAAUGGGCCUCAAUGAUGUAAAGAGCCAAUGAACAGAUAGUGUACCUAAAAAUUAAAAUAAAUAAGUAAAUAAAGAGGCAGGAAGGGUACACUGCAUCCAGGAUGACAGCGAAAGUCUCAAACGCUGGUUCCAGAGCUCACGCCCAUAUGCCCUGUGCUCUGUGAUUGGUGUGUAGCAGGCACUAUAUAUAAUGUAUCUCAUUUAAUCCUCUUAAGAAACCUAAGGGACAUGUAUUAAUGCCCCCAUUUUGCAGGUAAGAAAACUGAGUCUGAGAAGUCAAAUGACUUACACAAAGUCACGCAGUUUAAGCAGUAAAGCAAAGAUUCAAAUCCAGAUCUGACUGUCCCCGGUGCCACCUCCAUAGAGGUGACUUUGUGCUUUUAGGGAGGAUGGCCAAGGUGUGCCAGGAUGGCACAGUGGGGACAUAGCUCAUGGCCAAUCUCAUUGCCACCGGCCCAGCAGAAAAGGAAAAACAACUUCACAAUGCCAGGCCCUGCCAUCCUGUCACUAGCAAACCGCACCCCAUCUCCUCACCCUGUGGGUUGCCUAAAUGCCCCAUCAACCUCCCUGUUCCCUCCCCGUCCCAGACCGUGGGAGUUAAAACAAACACUCCCCAGGGUUGAUUGUCAGUGGGAACCACUCACUGUCUCCCCAACCCAAGGAACGGAAACAAAGUGAGCAGGCAGAUGCUAGGUGAGGCCACACCACGAGGGGCCAGCCCCAGACACCAGAAUCUAACCAGAUAGUUGGCUUAGGGUUAAGGGCCUUUUAAAGUUUCACAGUAGAAAGGAUGUCAGGGGUCUCAAUUCCAAGCCCUGCCUAGGAAGGAAGCCCCCCUGCAGCCUCCUGAUGGCCUGAUGGUGUCUGGUGCCUGACUGUACAUACCCCCACUCCCACACCAGAUAUGUGACUCACUUCCAACACUGUGAAUUGCUUAGCCCAAAGGGCAUCUGACUUCACACUGAGCUGAGCCUAUCCUGUGUCCCUGGACCCGCCCAUUGGUCCCUGCUCUGCAUUGAGGAUCCACAGAGCCCACCUGCCCUCAGACCUGCCACAGCCCUUCAAAGGGCAAGAGGCACAACCAUGACCCUCAGGCUAGCUCUUGAUUCCAGGCCAGAGACCCAGUCCUUUCAAUUAUGUUUUACAGACCACAGUGUGGGAACCCGCCCUCAUCCCUGCCACCUUCUCUCCAAUUUUUCUGUAACUUGGGAGCAUGCAGUGGCAGGCUUGUGCCAAAGGACCCAGCCCCAUCUCAUCUCUCCCCAUCUCAUCUCAUGCUUGUUGCCUGCCGCUAUGAUAUAGUCCCUGGGCCUUUGGAGUUUCUUCCAUAUCCUGGUCCUUGGCAUCUGGGCUGGGGGGUCCAUGGACAGUGCUGGACAUUUCCUGAUUCCUGGAACUCAGUCCCAGGAUCAGGGUUUUCUGUUCCCCUUGGCAGGAAUCCCACGCUGAUUCCCAUAAAGCAGGGCCAGUUCUUGGUCUUCUUAAAGGCGGUGUUGGCCUAGCAGAGGCCUUGCUGGUUGCAUCUGUUCUUUCUGGCCAGAGACCUUGGUGGGUAACAGCUGGUGCAGCCUCACAGCCCAUGUGCUCAGGGCCUCAGAGCUAUGUGUGGUGCCAGUGGCCAGCUCCCCAUGAGAUGCAAACAUCAGGGGAUCCAGCUAAUACCUCAUUCCCCCUUGAGGCCUGGCCUAGACUGGGUGUGGUGUGUGUGUGUGUGUGUGUGUGUGUGUAUGUGUGUGUACUUGUUCAUCUGUCCAACCAUCCAUCCAUCCAUCCAUCCAUCCAUCCAUCCAUCCAUCCAGGGAUUCAUUCAUUCUACAUGCCUAAUGUGGGCCAGGCUCAAGAGACCCAGAGAGGAGAGCCCUCUCUGGGAGUCCCCAGUCUGGUAAAGGAAGCAGGAGUAGGCACAGUGAGAGCACAUUAGAAACAGGCACAAUCACAGAUGGAAGCCAGGUGCUGUGGGUGCCCCAAGGAGGAAUUGCCUCGGGUGGAUUAGGGAAGCCUUCCCAGGUAAGGCUUGUAGCACAGGUAGGAGUUCAUUUGGUGCCAAUAGUAGAAGUAGUGGCCAGGUACAGUGGCUCACGCCUGUAAUCCCAGCUUGUGCUUUGGGAGGCCAAGGCGGG